AUUGAACGCUGGCGGCAGGCCUAACACAUGCAAGUCGAGCGGGGUUUUCGGACCUAGCGGCGGACGGGUGAGUAAUGCGUAGGAAGCUACCCGAUAGAGGGGGAUACCAGUUGGAAACGACUGUUAAUACCGCAUAAUGUCUACGGACCAAAGUGUGGGACCUUCGGGCCACAUGCUAUCGGAUACGCCUACGUGGGAUUAGCUAGUUGGUGAGGUAAUGGCUCACCAAGGCGACGAUCCCUAGCUGGUUUGAGAGGAUGAUCAGCCACACGGGAAAUGAGACACGGUCCAGACUCCUACGGGAGGCAGCAGUGGGGAAUAUUGGACAAUGGGCGCAAGCCUGAUCCAGCCAUGCCGCGUGUGUGAAGAAGGCCUUCGGGUUGUAAAGCACUUUCAGUAGGGAGGAAGCGUUGUGUGUUAAUAGUACACAGCGUUGACGUUACCUACAGAAGAAGCACCGGCUAACUCUGUGCCAGCCGCCGCAGUAAAAC
rnacentral:rRNA from 1 species